rnacentral:rRNA from 1 species
UACAGAGGUCCCAAGCGUUGUUCGGAUUCACUGGGCGUAAAGCGUCCGCAGGUGGCAGUUCAAGUCUGCUGUCAAAGACCGGGGCUUAACUUCGGAAAGGCAGUGGAAACUGAACAGCUAGAGUAUGGUAGGGGCAGAGGGAAUUCCUGGUGUAGCGGUGAAAUGCGUAGAUAUCAGGAAGAACAUCGGUGGCGAAGGCGCUCUGCUGGACCAUAACUGACACUCAGGGACGAAAGCUAGGGGAGCGAAUGGG